CCUACGGGAGGCAGCAGUGGGGAAUAUUGGGCAAUGGGCGCAAGCCUGACCCAGCAACGCCGCGUGAAGGAAGAAGGCUUUCGGGUUGUAAACUUCUUUUCUCAGGGACGAAGCAAGUGACGGUACCUGAGGUAUAAGCCACGGCUAACUACGUGCCAGCAGCCGCGGCAAUACGUAGGUGGCAAGCGUUAUCCGGAUUUACUGGGUGUAAAGGGCGUGUAGGCGGGGAGGCAAGUCAGUUGUGAAAGCCACGGGCUCAACCGGUGGCCUGCAGUUGAAACUGGGUUUCUUGAGUACUGUAGAGGCAGACGGAAUUCCUGGUGUAGCGGUGAAAUGCGUAGAUAUUAGGAGGAACACCAGUGGCGAAGGCGGUCUGCUGGACAGCAACUGACGCUGAGGCGCGAAAGCGUGGGGAGCAAACAGGAUUAGAUACCCUUGUAGUC
rnacentral:rRNA from 1 species